GGCCCGCUAGUGCAGCCGGGAGUAAUGCGAGAGAGGUUUUCGUAACCUGUUACCAAGUAAACUGGAAGCUGCCGGUUCGAGCCCGGCGCGGGUCA
rnacentral:tRNA from 1 species